rnacentral:rRNA from 1 species
UACGUAGGAUGCAAGCGUUGUCCGGAUUUACUGGGCGUAAAGCGCGCGCAGGCGGCAAGGUAAGUAAGGUGUGAAAUCUGUCGGCUCAACCGGGAGGGUGCACUUUAGACUGCUUUGCUUGAGGUCGGUAGAGGGGGGUGGAAUUGCUGGUGUAGCGGUGAAAUGCGUAGAUAUCGUAAGGAAGACCAGCGGCGAAGGCGAGUUCCUGGACAGUUACUGACGCUGAGGCACGAAGGCCAGGGGAGCAAACGGG